UAUGUGACUCUACCAAAGUGGUAAUGAUACGUUGUACCGUGUCGUAAUGGCCUGGUAAUAAAGUUUUACCAGCAUGGUAGCGAAUUUUUACUACCUGGUAAAAUAUUAUUGCCAAAUUUAUUGCCGAAAAAUCUUUACCUGACUGACUUUAUUGGAUUAUUAAGAGUGUAGGGUCAUGUUUAGCUUUGUGUUACACCUGCGUUUUCAAUGAGUUGAAACUAAGCUGGUCUUAAAUGCGGGACAAAAAUCGUCAACUUGUGCGAAACUAAAGUUCUCAGGAUUCUCGGACUCUAAAAUAAUUUUGGGGUGAAAUCGUAUGAAUUCGAAAGAAAUAAGAAGUUGAUAAUUUUUUGGAAGUUUGUAUCUCAUGUCAAUUUAUACUAUUUCAUCCUAAAUUUCUCUGAGCGUAAAAAAAUUGUUUGAAAAUUAAAUUUAGCACAAGUUGACGACUGUUUGCUCUGAAUUUAAAGCCAAUUCAGUUUAAAAAUACUUUUUUUAGUUAGAUUCAAAAUAAUUUUAUACACUCUUAAAACCGUUUUACAUGAAGAAAGUAUUUCAAUUUUUCAACUAUUUGAUUCAGAUCUCUAUUUGCAACACAUGUGUAACAAUUUAAUAUGUGCUUCACAAUUACACUUUAUACUAUUUGUGCCAUCUUGACCAAUGAAAUUGUACACGGUCAGAAAAUAAGUCGUGACGUGAAUAAAAUAAAAUUCCUACUCUACCCCUUUGCCUCUGAUGUGACCUCCUGUGAGGAAAUAAAAUUCAACGAUAGCUUGAGUCUGGCCUCCAGUUCGUUCCGUCCCAACACUCUGACGGUUUUUGUCGUACAUGGAUUCGGUCAAGACCCGUUUUACUACAUCUACAAGGUUAAAGAUGCAUAUCUCCACGCUAAUCUUUCUCUCAACGUGAUCAUGGUGGACUAUGGAGACUUGACUAAAUUUAACGAAACGUCAGUACUCAGCGUGGUUUCGGCGUAUGUACAAUCAGGGAGAACGUUCCCCGGGUGGGGGCUAGAAUUGCGGAAUUUAUAAGUUUCCUCAUUCAAAGUAACGUUUUGUCGUUGAAUUUGGUCCACAUGGUGGCUCAUUCGAUGGGAUGCCAUGUAUCCGGGGAGGCGGGGAAUCAUAGCAAAAAAUUAUAUGGGGGGCAACCAAUUGCCAGAAUUACGGGUAAGUUGGGGAAAAAUAUGUUUAUUUAGUGGUCAUCCUCUAAUAUGCAGGGCUCGCUACCCGGGUUUUUUAAGGGUUGGGGUUUUUGGAGUUUUUGUGGGUUUCUGGGGUCUCAAAUGUCCUAAAAAUCCUUUAUGCUUGAUAGGGUUUUUGCGGGUUUUUGCAUGUUUUUGUGGGUUUUUGUAAGAUUUUGGGGCAGAUUAAAACAAGAUUCUUUAAACUACAGCUUCAAUGAAUGAAAAUUUAAUUUUGGGAUUCAGCAUGAUAUUUUGAGCACUUUUAUGUUGUGGGGACGGUCUCAAUGCACGCUCCGUCCCCACUUAUGCAACGAUGCCCAGCCAAUCCAGGCACCCGGCUGAACCAGCCGCCCUCCUACUCCCCCGAAGCGGUGGAAGGAACACAGCGAAACCACCGGUUUCGGAACCCCGCCAUGACUCCUUCCUCGCCUCCUCGCCGCUCCAGAAGUCAGUCGUCGCCAUACACGCAAGGGAGCUCCACGUACUUUGCAACGGCUCAGUCCAGCCAGAAGCUCCUUCGCGACGGACUCACCUCCGACAUACAAAUUUAGAGUGUAUCCUUAUAUAAUUUAAAAUAAGAAAAUUAGUGCCCUGUUUGCACAAAAAACUAUAAUUUAGAAUAAAAGCCUAGGGUUUUGUUUGUUUAAAAACUGAACGGUGUUUAUGGUGGGACAGUUAUUAAAACGGGUAUUCGUGAAUCUUGGACCCGACCUUGCAAUCGCAUAAAACGACGAUCCAUCCUCCCGCAUCCAAGUCGUCGUUGUCGCCAGAGUUGUGGAUCGGACUAGCAAUCCAUCCGGAUAGCUAGCGACGGACGUUCAUCCACUCAUCCAUUAAUUAUAAGAGAAGGAAGGAAGGAAGAGGCAGUGGAGUGGAGAGUUUCCCCCCAUCCCCAAAGGAACCUCAACCAACCCCACACGUCCUCAACUUUAACUUCCCUUCAAUGAAUUUUGUUUCAACCAGCCCCAUAAUCCACAGAAACCCACAAAAAUCCGCGAAAACCCAAAAUCCCACAAAAAUCCCACAAACCCCGAAAAAACCUACCCUGCCCCGAAAAAACCUACCUUGAGUUUUCCUAGGUGAACCUAGAAGAACUCCGGGGUUUUCCGAACCCUGUGCAUACAUAUCAAGUAAUUG